rnacentral:lncRNA from 1 species
CCAAGCAUCGCACCUCUGGCAGAUAUAAGAAAGGGAUGCCUGGGCAAAGGGACUCUGCUGACCUCCCAACCAUGCAUAUUCCAGCCUGCAACAAUUUAUGCCUCGAAGUUAAAGAAUGGUUUUGCUCUAUGUGAAGAAAAUUACUGCCUCUGUUGGUUGCAGUUGGAGGGGUCCUGGCCGAGGAAAGGAAGACUAGAAAUUUUGAGAGCAUUAAAAUGAUGUUUCAGAAUGACAAAAGGAAGUGAUCACUGGUGUACAUCAGGCUGACUUAACCACAGGCUUCACUGGCAGCGUGCAAAAGAGGUUUUGU